GUCUACGGCCAUGCUACCCUGAACAAACCCGAUCCUGUCUGAUCUCUUCGGAAGCUAAGCAGGGUUGGGCCUGGCUAGUACCUGGAUGUGAGACCACCUAGGAAGACAAGGUGCUAUAGGCG
rnacentral:rRNA from 1 species